rnacentral:rRNA from 1 species
UAAUACGGAGGGUGCAAACGUUGCUCGGAAUUAUUGGGCGUAAAGCGCACGUAGGCGGUCCGCUAAGUCGGAUGUGAAAGCCCUCGGCUUAACCGAGGAAGUGCAUCCGAAACUGACGGGCUAGAGUACGGAAGAGGGUUUCGGAAUUCCCGGUGUAGAGGUGAAAUUCGUAGAUAUCGGGAGGAACACCAGUGGCGAAGGCGGAAACCUGGGCCGAUACUGACGCUGAGGUGCGAAAGCGUGGGGAGCAAACAGG